rnacentral:rRNA from 1 species
AUUGAACGCUGGCGGCAUGCCUUACACAUGCAAGUCGAACGGUAGCACAGAGAGCUUGCUCUCGGGUGACGAGUGGCGGACGGGUGAGUAAUGUCUGGGAAACUGCCCGAUGGAGGGGGAUAACUACUGGAAACGGUAGCUAAUACCGCAUAACGUCUUCGGACCAAAGUGGGGGACCUUCGGGCCUCACACCAUCGGAUGUGCCCAGAUGGGAUUAGCUAGUAGGUGGGGUAAUGGCUCACCUAGGCGACGAUCCGUAGCUGGUCUGAGAGGAGAAACAGCAACACUGGAACUGAGAAACGGUCCAGACUCCUACGGGAGGCAGCGGUGGGGAAUAUUGCACAAUGGGCGCAAGCCUGAUGCAGCCAUGCCGCGUGUAUGAAGAAGGCCUUCGGGUUGUAAAGUACUUUCAGCGGGGAGGAAGGGAGUAAAGUUAAUACCUUUGCUCAUUGACGUUACCCGCAGAAGAAGCACCGGCUAACUCCGUGCCAGCAGCCGCCGUAA